AUGGCGCCCAUCUUCUGGCUCGAUAUCAAGAUCUACGGCCAAUGGAUGUCCAGUGGUGAGAGGCGCCUCUCCAAGGUGGCCAACCCAUCCAACCACCUUGCCAUUGUCGGCAACUUUGUCGGCGCGCUACUUGGUGCCAGGAUGGGCCUCCGGGAGCUACCAAUCUUCUUCUUCGCUGUUGGGUUCGCCCACUACGUUGUGCUCUUUGUCACCCUCUAUCAGCGGCUCCCCACCAAUAUGCAACUCCCCAAGGAUCUCCACCCGGUCUUCUUUCUUUUCGUCGCUGCGCCUAGUGUGGCAUCCAUGGCCUGGACGAGGAUCUCUGGCGAGUUCAACGAUGGUGCCAAGCUCCUUUACUACGUCUCACUCUUCCUCUACGUGUCAUUGGUGGUGCGCGUCAACCUCUUUUGGGGGUUUAGGUUCUCGCUGGCGUGGUGGGCAUACACAUUCCCGAUGACAAGUGUUGCCCUGGCGACGGUAUUGUAUGCAUCAGAGGUGGACAACUUGGUGACGCGAGCAAUGGCACUCGGGCUUUCGGGGAUUGCCACCAUGACCAUCAUUGUGGUGCUGGCCGCCACCAUGUACCACGCCUUUGUGCGCGGAGACCUCUUCCCUAAUGAUGUGUCCAUCACCAUCACAAAGCAGAGACCUAAAUUCAGCAAGAUUCUCGCUCACCUUCAGACGUGUGGCUCCGAUGUCAAGGAGCUCGUUGUCUCUAUCCCCAAUUUCAAUUCAAAUUCCAAGCAAGGCGCCUACUCUGACGACUUUGACUCCAAUGCUAGGAUGAACAACUGA
rnacentral:rRNA from 1 species